rnacentral:lncRNA from 1 species
GAUGCACCUGCCGUAUGCCGGUCUUCUAGUAGAAGAGUAUGACAUUCAAGAAUCAUAAUUUAAUAUCACUCUGAGGAGCCUCUGGAAAAUGCUUAUCAACAAAAGAAAUAUAGAGAGGAGAUCCUGGCAAGCAGCAGUGUGGAACAAAGUGGAGCAGCUGCAGGCAGAUCCAGCCAGGGCCCCACCCCAACCCCAGCGGCUUGGGCGCUUGGGCCCAAGCCAAAGGCCCAUGGGGAAAAGAACUGUACAGACACACAAGCAACAGCCAGUGGCUUACCCUGAUGCGAUUGGUAAGUACAUGGAGACCCUAGCCAGAAGCCUGCUCAGACAUGAGGGACUGGGGAACACUGACCCCAGCCAAAGGCCUUCCCAAACAAUAGCUACAUAGUGGGGACAGGCCCUAGCAUAGGCACUCCUGGGUACCAUACCAAGUAUACACAGGCCCCAGCCAGAAGUCCACCCAGACAACAGGUUAGCUCAGGGAUCCAGAAGCAACCAUUCUGAAUCCAGGAAUUGGUGCACUGGUGAGCAGCAGAUAAAAGGACACUCAAUGGUUGCUGAGAAUUGAAGAUCACUGGGUGAGCAAAAAGCUGCCUCAACAGAAACACAGCAGGCUGCAUCUAUUGAAAUGAGAAGACACAUAAACAAGUCUUAAAAUCAGAUUUCAAGAUCACCUAAGGAAACGGGGAAAGGAGAUGGAAUAAUCUGAUAUUCAACCACUUCGUCUCCCUGAAUUAGCAAUGAAAGAGGACCUGGAAAAAAUGAGAUCAGAAAUAAUUUCUCAGAUAACAGCAGAGAUUGUGCCCAUAGUGCAAGACAUGAUUAAUAAAUAUGGAGUAGACACAGAUUUUAAAAAAUGGAGAAUCUGAGGAACAUGAUAGAAUCCCAACA